rnacentral:rRNA from 1 species
UGGGGAAUAUUGGACAAUGGGCGAAAGCCUGAUCCAGCCAUGCCGCGUGUGUGAAGAAGGUCUUCGGAUUGUAAAGCACUUUAAGUUGGGAGGAAGGGCAUUAACCUAAUACGUUAGUGUUUUGACGUUACCGACAGAAUAAGCACCGGCUAACUCUGUGCCAGCAGCCGCGGUAAUACAGAGGGUGCAAGCGUUAAUCGGAAUUACUGGGCGUAAAGCGCGCGUAGGUGGUUUGUUAAGUUGGAUGUGAAAUCCCCGGGCUCAACCGGGGAACUGCAUUCAAAACUGACUGACUAGAGUAUGGUAGAGGGUGGUGGAAUUUCCUGUGUAGCGGUGAAAUGCGUAGAUAUAGGAAGGAACACCAGUGGCGAAGGCGACCACCUGGACUAAUACUGACACUGAGGUGCGAAAGCGUGGGGAGCAAACA